rnacentral:rRNA from 1 species
AGAGUUUGAUCAUGGCUCAGAACGAACGCUGGCGGCAGGCCUAACACAUGCAAGUCGAGCGCCCCCGCAAGGGGGAGCGGCGGACGGGUGAGUAACGCGUGGGAAUUUUCCUCAAGGUACGGAACAACUCAGGGAAACUUGGGCUAAUACCGUAUGAUGUCUAGCGACCAAAGAUUUAUCGCCUUGGGAUAAGCCCGCGUCAGAUUAGGUAGUUGGUGGGGUAACGGCCUACCAAGCCUGCGAUCUGUAGCUGGUCUGAGAGGACGAUCAGCCACACUGGGACUGAGACACGGCCCAGACUCCUACGGGAGGCAGCAGUGGGGAAUCUUGCGCAAUGGGCGAAAGCCUGACGCAGCCAUGCCGCGUGAAUGAUGAAGGUCUUAGGAUUGUAAAGUUCUUUCGCCCGUGACGAUGAUGACGGUAACGGGAGAAGAAGCCCCGGCUAACUUCGUGCCAGCAGCCGCGGUAAUACGAAGGGGGCUAGCGUUGUUCGGAAUUACUGGGCGUAAAGCGCGCGUAGGCGGUUUUGCAAGCCAGAGGUGAAAUGCCUGAGCUCAACUUAGGAAUUGCCUUUGGGACUGCGAGGCUUUGAGGACUGGAGAGGUGAGUGGAAUUCCCAGUGUAGAGGUGAAAUUCGUAGAUAUUGGGAAGAACACCAGUGGCGAAGGCGGCUCACUGGCCAGUUUCUGACGCUGCAGCGCGAAAGUGUGGGGAUCAAACAGGAUUAGAUACCCUGGUAGUCCACGCUGUAAACGAUGAGUGCUAGGCGUCGGCACGCUUGCGUGUCGGUGCCGCAGCUAACGCGUGAAGCACUCCGCCUGGGGAGUACGGUCGCAAG